AGAAAACUAGUAGAAGGGAGUGAGGAAGGAGGAGAAAGACCAGAAGAAGGGCAAGGGAUGUGGGGCGAUCUGCAUGUCCAUGGAGCAGUAGGACGACAACGAGAGGAUGAGUACCUCGACGGCGACGAAAACCAGGAGGAUGAACCCACCCACAGUACUGGAAUCAGGGAUGACACGGUUCGGGAUCGCCGCACGCUUCAACGCCCCGUCGCCGGCCGUCUCGGAGGCUGCCGCCACCAACGCCGCGUCGGGCGUUGUCCACGCAGUGCCACGGACCGAGCCUGUUGCUUCCGCCGAGUGGCUGCAUGCCAACCUCAGGGACCCCAAUGUGAAGUUUUUUGUCUAGGUACUUGAUGCCUCUUGGUGAGAAGAUGAUGGCAAGUUCCUCAUUCCAAUUGAGUUUAUAUUGUGUAGGUUUCUUCAUCAUGAUCUAGAUUUCCGCAGUCAUGUUCAAGUCCAAUGAUAUCUUGCGCAAGUAGAUCGCUCUCAAGACUGCUCUCAAGGGCUUGUGCUUAUCUUGUGUAUCAACGUUCUUGUUCACAUCCAUCUUGGAGGGCUCAAAUUCGCUGCCGGAAGCUUCUUCAGUCGCUGUGUGGGCCUCUCAGUUGCCCCCUUAAGUUUGCUCAGGGUUCUCCAUGGCGACAAUCUGGGAAGCCUCCUCGGUGGCAGCCUUGGCAAUACCGGCUUCCUCGGCGAGCUCUUCACCUCCCACGGGAGAAGUUGGAGCUGAAAACCAAGACACAAGAAAAAAAGAAGGUUCAAAUCAUAGAUAGAAACCAAGGAAAUUUCUCAUGGAAAUAACUUUAUGGCAAGAGAAUUACCCAGGUGCACUUGUUGGGAAGGAGCAUCCCCUCCCCCGUCAGCAUGCGUUGUCGGCACACGUUCCUCGA